CUUGGCUUCUGCCUCUGCUUUUUUCAGCCUCCAGCCAGCACCAAGUUGGAAGAUGCAUUGAAUCUCUUACCUCGAAGAUACGGCUUGUGGGCUUCCUUCCAGAGCGCUCCUCUCCAACCCCAGUCGAUGUUCCCAAGAAAACUCUCUCGAGUGGCUUACUGAAGCUGUAUUUAUGCUACUUCUCCGAGAGUGGGAUUGUGGGAUAUCUCCCAGCAUGCUCUCUGGCCCUAAUGGAGAGACAUCUAGACACAGGAGAGAUGCUGCAAGAAUUUGGGAAAACUCAAAGCUUUAACCUGUUCAUAAUCUAGCGACACCUCUACCUCUAAAAAUCCUUCCUUGAGCAGAGAUACUUGGCUUGAGGAAAAUCCCCUUAAUGGAAAGCUUAAGGUGCUUAGGGUUUGCUGGAAGGGAAUCAAACUCCCUCUGCCCAGUCCCUCCAGAGACAAAGGACCUUCCUUUGCAUCUUAAGGCACUCUUAAACUCCUUUUUCUCCCACCAGACCUGAAUCCUAGGCUUUUUAGCUUUUUUAGGUUUCUGCUUUUAAAGCCUUGCCCUCCGGCAGGAACUCCAAGACUCCAGGAAGUGUCUGUUUAAAAAGCUGAACACCCUUCCUCCUCAGACCAAGGAAACACUUGGCCAUUCUGGGACUCAUGGUCCAAGGCCAGCACUCUCUUUGAUCUGUCCUGGGAGAUAAAUGGAGAAACUUAAGAGAAGCCAUACUUGAAUCCUUCUCCCACUCCACUAUUACAUACAGCUCCUGGGGUCUUUAAUGAUCAGGUUGUAGCCACGAGGAGAAAGGUCACUGAAUUGGGGUGAGCCUUGGAGACAUUUCUCUACCCUUGGCUGCUGCUCCUGGGACAGGGGUUGGGCCAUCUCCUUCAGGUCUUGCUCUCCCAGGAAGAUUUUGGCAUUUGGUUGGCUCCCCCUCCUCAAGUUCCAUUGUGGAAUCCUCGCUAUUUGGGAAGCAGCCAGGCUUCAAGCUGUGAAUUUCCAACUGCCCUCCAGCCUGCACAUGGGAACUGAUUGGGACACACGACACACAACUGCUGCUGUUUCGAGUUCUCACAUUCCCUCCUGGCUUGGAGCCCCCCAAAUCUCUACAAUCCUUGUCAGCUUGAAGCAGUCACAUGAAGUUGAGAUCUUCGUCCUUUUGCCCUUAAAUGAAUUUAAGUUUUAACUGCUUGUGGGGGAAAUGAAGCGGGUUGUGGUCUCUUUAAGAAACUGUAUUUCUUAUUGAUCUAUGAUCCCUUUCAGAUAGAUACUCAGCCCAUUCUUGGGGAAGGCAUAUCCUCCCUACAUAAGAUCUUUCCAGGAUGCCAGGGCCUUUGAUUCAAUUAAAAUCCUGGUCAAAAAAGCAUCCCUUUGAAUUCUAAUAGGAGAUCCAGGCUAUCCCAGCCCCCACUGAGUCUGAGCCAACUUGGGCUGUCCCAACUCCCACUGGUUGGCUUCCGUUAACAAAGGUCUUUUGCAGAUGGACCUUGGUAGCUCCCUUUACUGCCAGGACCUUCCGUCCACUGAGACCUGCAUUCUCAGUGCAAAACUCCAUUUUCCAUAGAUCUGCCACUAGAGAAGUCAGUCUCUUGGUAAACUGAUUUCUAUCUAAUUUUGUAGCUAAUAUUUCGGGAAUGAGUGAAUUCUUUUGCUCCUAAAACUUGUGGCCGAUUUAAAAGAGAUUCUUAACAACUCUCUUACAGUCACUAACCUCUAGACCACUAGGAAUCUAGACUACUCAAAUAGCAUUAAACAGUCUAAUUGUCUUUAGGAAGUUGUUGAACUCCUUUUGUGAUUCCAAAUUUCUUUUUUUUUUCUUUUUCUUUCCUUUUCCUUUCUUUCUUUCUUUCCUUUCUUUUCUUCUUCUUC
rnacentral:lncRNA from 1 species